UUGGUUGCGAUGAUUAUAAAAAAUUCCUCGUUCUGAGUGCUAUUGCCAUAGCUUGAAAGACAUAUUCACACCCAUAGAAUAUGAGCACC